AUGUAAAUAAGGAAAAAAAAAAAGAAAAACAAAACAAAGAAAAACAAGCGAUUACGUAAAGUGACGAGGAAGAAAAAAAAACUCACCUCAAAAUAUGGACUGCACGCGGAGAGGACUACCCUGUGGGCCUUUAGGUAUUUCCCCUCCGCUGCCAACGUGCAGUCGACCAGCGUACCGCUUUCAUAAAGCGUGUCGAAAUUUUGUAUCAGUGUGCUCUGAUGAUUGUUCCAUUUAAGGCAGAACUGCUGGUCAUCCUCCAUGUUCUCUGGUAUCGUUUCCUCGUUUCUGCGAAAUUAAAAGAGAACCACACACGGCUAUUGUUGGUUGAUCGAUCAGAUCAUACGUAAAAUCUUUGAAGAUAAUAAGGAAAAUCGCGAACGACGAGCCAACAACACGGAUUGAUAAUAUACGACAAGAAGUUGCCAUGGCGCCUGAGGCUCGAGUUAAUGAAAUCCGUAUAUAGUAGAGGGACGAUUUAAAGAGAAUAAAAAAUACGGUAGAAGGAGAGGGAAGAAGAAAAAGAUAGAGAGAUAAAGAGGAGAGGAAAGAGAGAAAGAGAGAAAGAGAGAGAGAGAGAGCGAGCGUGCUGUAUCGUGGCGCAACGAAACGAAACGAGACGAGACGAGACGAGACGAGAGAACAAGCUGAUUUACGUCACCGGGAUUUACAUCAGAGAGACGCGCAAUAAAGCGGCAAAUCGAUCCUGCCCUCUCUUCUCACAUGCGCAGAGAGUCGAGAAACGCGGGUAAUCCGCACGAGAUGAGAGGGGUGGAAGUGGAACGGCGAAGAGGUGUGGAGGAGGUGAAGGAGGUGGAGGUGGAAAGAGAGAGAGAGAGAGAGAGAGAGAGAGACGAACGAUACGUUGUUGAAAUCUCACACACAAACGAACGAUACGAACGAAUAAAAAGAAAGAUGCGACGACGAAGAGAAAAAGAAAAAGAGUUAGAGAGCGACUGUCCGAUUGCGUAAUCUAUUUAUAUUGUUAUCUGCUGCCGGAGUCGCGUUGUUACGUCAGGACGGCGCCCCGGUGCAACGUGCGUGAAAGGAAAACAAAUUGUUGACAAAUAAUUUCGUUCGAUCUUAUAUCGUGCGCUUGGUAGUUCGCGUAUACACGCCAGAGAAAAACAUGACACGCCUUUAACGUUCAAUUUCUUAGCUAAGUCUUCUCGGUAAAAGGAAAAGAGAAGGAAGAUCGGAAAAGGAAGAGAAAGAAUAAAGAUGUUCAUUAAACGUGAGAGCAUGAGCGUGAGAGAAAGAGAGAGAAAGAGGAAUAUGUGUAUGCAUACGUGCUUGUGCGAGAAUAUAUGUGUAAGAGUAUGAGAUCGAAAGAAUGAGAGAGAAUGUGUGAGAGAGAGAGAGAGAGAGAGAGAGAGAGAGAGAGAGAGAAGACGUGACGAGACGUGGAUGGCAAUAUGGCCGACGGCGAACUAGCACCCGGACAAAAUGGCGAUGGGUAAAAAGCUCUUAAGGAAAAGCGCGAACGCUUAGGUCCCAUCGAACGAUCCCGUUCGCAAAGUAUCACGUUCUAUGUAUAUAUAUAAAGAUUAAGAAAGAAUUAAUACGAUUUAUCAUCAAGUUAAUCUUAUAGUCGUUACGUACGAUAGUAAACGAACCGAACGCGGAGGGGAAACGCCCGCGCCAUGUCAGCCGGUCCCGAGAAAGAUUUUCCGGAAUUUUCUUCUCCAAAAGUGAUAUUCUUAACGCACAGAUAUAUUUAUCCACUUGAUAUAUAUAUAUACACAUACAUAUGUACAUAUAUAUGAAGAUAUACAUAUAUAUAUACAUAUAUAUAUAUAUAUACAUGAACAUUUAUAUAUAUAUAUAUAUAUAUAGAUAUAUAUUCGAUUAGAUUAUCACUGAUCCGUUGUUAUUAGAUCGAACUUGUUUCUUUUAUAUUGGCACUCACCUAAUAUAGGGUGUAUAAAAAAGAAUCUAAUAUCACAGCAAUCGGGGGAUCGGUGAAAAGUGGGGAAAAAACUCCGUGAGCGGACGUCCGAGCCACGGCGUGCGUCUCCAGCGCUGCCCUUUUCAACAAUGGCGCGGCACACGGUUGCUCGGUCACUCUCGCGACGCCCGUCAGAGAGAGCGCAAGUCUCGGUUCUUCGUCUCUCUCUCUCUCUCUCUCUCUUUCUUUCUCUCUAUCUCUAUCUAUCUAUAUAUCUUCCUCUCUCUCACUCUGACUAGGAUUUUCAAUGGUGGGAGACUCGAGAGGAACAGCGGAACGAGGGGAUGAAAGACGAGGAAAGAAGGAAACCUUCUAGAGCAUGCGCGCUUUACAUCUCUAGAGAAAAGAAAAAAAAAAAAAAAAAAGAAGAAACGAAAAGAAAGAAGAAAGAAAAAAAAGAAAACAAUAAAAAAAAAAAAAAAGAAAAA